rnacentral:pre_miRNA from 1 species
UCUUAUGGAUGAGCAAAGAAAGUGAUUACUUGAGGUGAAAUCUACUCCUGGUGAAGAUGCUGUGAA